rnacentral:rRNA from 1 species
CCUACGGGUGGCAGCAGUAGGGAAUCUUGCACAAUGGACGAAAGUCUGAUGGAGCAACGCCGCGUGAGUGAAGAAGGCUUUCGGCUUGUAAAGCCCUUUUGGUAGUGAAGAAGGUUAGAGUUAGGAACUCUCCUUUAGAUGACGCUAAUUACUUAGAAAGUCACGGCUAGCUACGUCCCAGCAGCCGCGGUAUUACGUAGGUGGCAAGCGUUGACCGGAUUUUUUGGGCUUAAGGCGAGUGCAGGCGGUUGUAUAAGUCUGAUGUGAAAGCCUUCGGCUCAACCGGGGAAUUGAAUCAGAACGUGUUGAACUUGAGUGCAGAAGAGGUAAGUGGAAUUCCAUGUGUAGCGGUGGAAUGCGUAGAUAUAAGGAAGAACACCGGUGGCGAAGGCAGCUUACUGGGCUGCAACUGACGCUGAGGCGCGAAAGCAUGGGUAGCGAACAGGAUUAGAUACCCGAGUAGUC